rnacentral:rRNA from 1 species
CCUACGGGGGGCAGCAGUGAGGAAUAUUGGUCAAUGGGCGCGAGCCUGAACCAGCCAAGCCGCGUGAGGGAAGACGGCCCUAUGGAUUGAAAACCUCUUUUGUCGGGGAGCAAAAGACGCCACGCGUGGCGUUCCGAGAGUACCCGAAGAAAAAGCAUCGGCUAACUCCGUGCCAGCAGCCGCGGUAAUACGGAGGAUGCGAGCGUUAUCCGGAUUUAUUGGGUUUAAAGGGUGCGCAGGCGGAAGAUCAAGUCAGCGGGAAAAUUGCGAGGCUCAACCUCGUCGAGCCGUUGAAACUGGUUUUCUUGAGGGAGCGAGAAGUAGGCGGAAUGCGUGGUGUAGCGGUGAAAUGCAUAGAUAUCACGCAGAACUCCGAUUGCGAAGGCAGCAUACCGGCGCUCAACUGACGCUCAUGCACGAAAGUGUGGGUAUCGAACAGGAUUAGAUACCCCGGUAGUC